ensembl:lncRNA
CGGCCUCCCUCCCAGCUUCCCUCGGCCCCGCGCCGGCCCUGCCGGCCUGCGCCCUGCUGGCAGCGUGCCGCGCGCGCCGGGUCCCGCAGCCUCCUCUGCCCCCAGUGUCCGUCGUCCGCACCUGGCCCUCACCCCUUCACCGGCCCCUCACCCUCGCGCCCGUUUCAGCCUCCUCGCCCGCGGCUCCAGCCCCGUCUUGAUUGUUUUGAGGAGGGUGGGGGGCUGUACGCGGGAAACGAGCCAAGAGCGCAGCCCGCACCCGCUCGCCUUCACGCGCAGAGGCAACCCGCUGCUUAGUUGCCGGAGAUCGUCGGCCGGUUUUUGUCCCCUCCACGUGAUGCUCUGGAUGCUCGAGAAGCGAGAGCGGGGCAGAGGCUUGUCCGAGGGCUGGGGCCGCCGGGUGGUGGCAGGGAUGUCGUCCUUCGUACAUCUGGUUAACUUCUGUGAAGCCUGAGGGUGUGCCUGGUGUCAGCGAUCCCCCAGGGCGUCCCUGUGACGAGCACCUUCCAGUAUGGGCACAGCAGCCGGGAGUGUGUCCACCGUGGCUCCAGCCCUGAUGGGGACCUGCGUUUGUCACUUCGAAGCUCCCCCGGCCCCUGAAGGCAGGUUCCCUGGAUGGAGAGAGGCUCGGGGUGGGCAGGGGCAGCGCCUGGCAAGAGGAGAGCUUCUCAAACUCUGAGUGUUUACUCUCCCAGCCCCCGGGGGUGGAGGGACACUUGCAUAAUGGACUAGAGCCACAGAGGCCGCCCUGGGUGCCGCUGACCCGUCCCUCCCAGGCCACGGGCCAUGGGGGGCCUGGAGCUCGCGGCGGAGCUGAUGUGUCCGCUGUUCCUCCAGCCGCAGGUGAGCGAGGCUGCAGCCCCUCCUUUCCUACCCUGACCCCAGCUCUGGCUCCCCAGCUCGGCGGCUCCUGGGGGGCAGUCACCUCCGCCCUGAACCCACAGGCUGGCCCUCUCCUGAGCGUUCGCCCUGCACGAGGGCCCUGUGCUCUGGUCUAGACCCGGAAGGCACCCCCCACACAUCCUGCUUCUGCAUCCUCGGGAGCCUCCCCUGUGGGGAGGGGACACGCCCCUCAGAGUCAUUCAGAAUGGGGCUCAGAGCCGUGGUCUCCGGCCAGCAGGCGUGCCGACCCUCUCGUUGCCUCAGAGAGACCGCUAGCCUCGGGCUCCUUCCCACCU